UUUUUUUUUGGCUUAAUAAAAAUGCAUUUUCUAACAUUAAAGAAACGACGAGUAUACAAAAGAAAAUAGCACUAUCAAACAAAUACACAACAGUAGAUCAAUGUAUAAGUAAAAAUGAAGAAAACAAUAGGAAUCAUAUGAACAUGUAUUCUACGAAUAAAGAUAAUGCAAAUAAUAACUUAUUAAAUAAUUAUACCGACAUUUCGAGUUUCUAUAAAAACAAUAAUUAUUUAUAUGAAACUGACAACGCAUAUCAAGACAGAAAUAUCAUUAGAAAUAUAAAUAGAACAAAUAAUGCUCCUACUAAUGUUACGAAUAAUAGUAUUACUAGUGCACCCUUUAGAACCUCCAACAUGUACAACACAUAUAGAUUAGAAUCAAAUGACGUAAGACUAUACGACACGCAAAAAAUGAAUAAAAAUAAUUCCAGUAUGUUGCUACAGAACUUACAGAGAGAAAUUUUAAGUGACUUGUUUGGAAACGGUGAUAAACAAAAUGAAUUAACAGAUGAAGUGGUAAGCGAAAAAGAAAGCGAGCAUGGCAAAAAUGUAGAAGAAUCUUAUAACGAAGAAGAUAAUAUGAUUUCUUAUGUAGACAUGAAAAAUAACAAUAGUGACUACCCAGAUGCAAAAAAAAAAACGCAAAACAAACUGCAAAACAAAUUGCAAAACAAAUUGCAAAAUGAGGUAUCAAUAAACUCACAACAAGUAUCACAACAAACAGUAACAAAUAAUAACAGUAGUGAUGAAAUAUUGUCGUCACAAUAUAAAAAAAGAAAAAGAAAUAACACAUGUAAUGAAAGCAAUACAGUAUAUAAUGCACUAAAUAAAAAAAAAAAAAAAAAAAAUUCUCUUCACAAUAAUAAAACAUACGUAGUUAAUAAAAGCGAUUAUAGUAGUAGAUCUGAGGAAUACGAGAGACCAAAUGUCAACAAAAAUGAAGUUUAUGACAAGUAUGUUGCUAAAAAAAGAGGCCACAGGAGCAGGAAUAACAGUAGGAGUAAGAGUAAAAGUAAGAGUAAGAGUAAGAGCAAACGUAAAAGCAAACGUAAAAACGAAAGCGAAACCGAAAUAGAUAGCGAAACCGAAAUAGAUAGCGAAACCGAAAUAGAUAGCGAAACCGAAAUAUAUAGCGAAACCGAAAUAGAUAGCGAAACCGAAAUAGAUAGCGAAACCGAAAGCAAUAACAAAAGAAAAAGAAAAAACAAGAGCAAAAGCGAAAGCAAAAGCAAAAGUAUAAACCAACUAGAUAACCUCGAAAUAAAUAAAGACUCAAAAAUGUACAGAAACGUAAAAAAUAUAUUACCCACUAAUAAAAAAAAAAUAGAGGAUUUAAAAAUACAAACUGAUAACAUAACUGUUAGUGACGACCCAACUGGUAAUAACGACCUAACUGGUAUUGACUCUACAAAUAAACUAAAAGUAAAAAAAAAAAAUUUACAUUUCGAUUUAGUUAAUGAUGAAGAACAAACUUAUAGGAACCUUAACAACGCAAACGUACUAAAUAAAUAUAUAAAUAAAAAUAAAACAAAUGAUAAGAAACUAACAAAGCAUAUAAAUGAUUUUACAUUUUUUAAGAAAUUCAGUUAUCAUAACGAGGGAAGUGACAAGUUCGAUGACACGCUGAGUAGUAGCGAUGUAGGAAGUGGUCAUGUGGGGAAUAGAUAUAUUGGUAGUGAGAGUGAUGUCAAAGAUACUGCUGUUCGUAACGUCAGUCGUACUAGUAACAAAAAGUAUGUAAGUUCUAUAAAAACAAGAAAUUCAAAAUUUCCUUCACAUGGAAAUGGUGAUAUGCACUUAAACCAAUGUGACGUGUUAGGUAAAGACAUGGUUAGCAAAAAAAAAAGACUUAGUGAAACUAAAUCAAAAAGAAAAAGUAAAAAAAUAAAUAAAUAUAAUAAGCUAAAAAAAAGUUACGAUAACUUGAACAACCUUCUAAAUUCAAUCAUAUCAAAUAGUAGCAGCUUAGAAGAUAAAAUAAACAUUAAUUUGAAAAAAAUAAAUGAUAAUGCGAUAAAUGAAAAAUUAAAUUUAAUCAACCCUAAAGAAACAAAAUCAAUAACACAUAACAUAAAUGAUAAUAAAAUAAAAAAACAAAUUUCAAAAUACACAAAUGAUAAAGAACUAAUCGAACAUGUUUUUUCUGCUACUCCAGAAAAUAAAGUAACAAAUUUUUUAACCUUGCAUUCGAAUCAUAUAUAUGAGGAAAGUCAUGGUGGAUCAAUAAAUAAAAGUCCAAUUAUUGCAAGUCCAAUUAAUGCAAGUCCAAUUAAUGCAAGUCCAAUUAAUGCAAGUCCAAUUAAUGCAAGUCCAAGUAACGCAAGUCCAAGUAACGCAAGUCCAAGUAACGCAAGUCCAACAAAUUAUGACCUGCGCAUUAGCAAUAAUAACGCUUACGACCAUUUUAAUAAUUACAAUUUGAAUGAGUCCGAUAACUUGGACUUAUAUAUGAAUCAUUGUAGUUAUGGUAAAAUGCCUGGUAUUAUUAGCGGCGAUGGUUGUAUAAAUGAUAGUAUACGCGUUUCUAUUUUUAAUGGUGACAUUGAUAAGGCUAUUUAUGUUACCAAGCAUGAAGAAAGUUAUGAUAUUACUAACAGCAUUACUACUAACAGCAUUACUACUAACGGCGUUACUACUAACGGCGUUACUACUAACGGCGUUACUAAUAAAUCGAGUAUUCAUGUUCCUGGUGGUCUUAUUACUGAUGUAAGCAAAGAUGUUACUAAUAAUCUAACAGACGACACAUAUGAUGACGAUGAAAAGAACGGUAUAGAAAUGUCGUUGCACAAUUUGCAAGACAUUAUAACAAAUUAUAUACAAGAAUGUAAACUAAGUAGUACUGUCAUAAAUAACGAUUAUGAAAAUACAAAUGAUGAAACAGAUACAAAUGAUAAAAAAUAUACAAAUGAUAAAACAGGUACAGAUGAUAAAACAGGUACAGAUGAUAAAACAGAUACAAGUGCCACGCACGGUCAAAUAAAUAAGUCAUCACUAUAUACAAAUCAAGAAAUAGCAAAACAUAAUUCGGAAAAAAAUAAAUUGUACAACAAUGGUUAUAGUUCACAUUUAAAUAACACUUAUUUAGAAGAACAAACGUCAAAAAUCCUGGAUAAUGAAAAAAAUGAAAAUUUUAAUAAUAAUUAUAUCAAAAAGGAUAGGACUAAAAGCGGCUUUGAAUGUAAAGUUACCACAGCUAAUUACAAUGACAUACAUAACUCACAUAAUGACAUAGUUAAUGAACCAGCUGACAAUAAUGAAAUUAGUAGUAGUGGUAGCAAUAAUAGUCAUAUUUAUGUUGGUAAUGCUUUACCAUUAUCACCCAUGUACGACUCGUUUAGCACUAAACAAAAAAAAAUAAACAGUGAAAAAGAUAUUGUUAAAAAUAUAAUUAAAGGAUUACAUUUUAUAAGUAAUAACUUAGGUUGGAAUAAUAAAACGUUUAGUGUAAUGUUAUCAAAAAUGAUCAAAUCAAAAACGAGUAAAGAUAUACAAAAACAAAAAACCAACGAACAAAUAUUAAGUAACAAUAACAACUUUAACAACGGGGAAAGUACUAUUUCUAUAAGUGAUAAACAAAAGGGAAUACAUAUCGAACAGCACGAGAGCUUGAAUUGUGGAAACAGUACUGCCAAUGAAACUACAAUAAGUGAUACUACAACUAUUGAUACCACUAACGUUAAUAUAAAUGAAUUGAUCGAUACGUCAAAAUACGACGUCAUUAUAAAAGGAAAGAGUAAGUCAGACGAAGAAAUUGAGUAUACAAAUAAAAAUUAUUUAUCCGAUAACAAUCAGCUAUUCAAAAACUCAGGUGAUAGAGUUAUAAUAGAUAUACAAGCCGAAAACAUAACGGAGGAAGACGCUCAUAGUAUGCCCAUUCAAACACAAAUUCAUUCCGAGUAUGCAGAGGGAUCUGAUAAGCAGAACAUACUAAAUGAUGUAUUAUACACAAACAAGGUAAAUAAAUAUACUAGUAGUAAAAGUGAAGGCACAGGUUUACAUAAUAAUAAUAAUAAUAAUAGUAAUAAUAAUAAUAGUAAUAAUAAUAAUAAUAGUAAUAAUAAUAAUAAUAAUAGUAAUAAUAAUAAUAAUAGUAAUAAUAAUAAUAAUAUACACACUGACGCAAAGGAAGUUCUUAAAAAAGAGGAACAACAAGUAAAUUAUAAAAAUAAAAAAAUGGCUGACGAACAAAAGAAAACGGACUUAUAUAAUAGCAACAGAAAAUAUGAAAAAAGUAAACCACAUGAAAGUUUUAAUAGAAGAACGAGUGAAAGGCUUGCCCGCCAAGCACGCCGUGAAAAUCCAGCACGAGAUGAAGUGCAAACACAAGAUGAAGUGCAAACACAAGAUGAAGUGCAAACACAAGAUGGAGAGCAAACACAAGAUGAAGAGCAAACACAAGAUGAAGAGCAAACACGAGAUGAAGUGCAAACACAAGAUGAAGAGCAAGACGAAACCAAAAGUAAGGAUAUAAUAAAUAAACAAAAUAUACAUAAUAAUAUAACAAACGAACUAACAAAUAAAAAUGGAUCAUUAAUUUCAUCUUCUGCUUCAACACUAAUAAAUGAACAAACUGAAAAUAUAAAUAUAUUUGUUUCAACUAGCUUACCAUUAAAUAGUCACAUAAAUACCACAAAAAAAAAUAAACAUAUGGAUGAAUUUGUAAUAGAACAAAAAGAAUUAUCAAGUAACUAUCACGUUAUUGUUAAUAAAGAAAAUGAUGAUGCUGAAUCAACCCAAUUUUAUGAAAAUAACAAUAUUAAUAAAACGGAUGUAAUAGUGCAACAAGAUAUGAAAGAUAAAUUAGAACGUGACACAUAUGAAAAUGUCAUGACUAAUAAUACACAAACAACAUUACAAACUGUAAGUGAUGAAAAAGACGUAUUAUUUAUAAAAAAAGUACAGGAAUAUACCAACACAAGUGCUAGUAGCAGUAUCGGUGCCACGGCAUGUGCCAAUAUCGACAUCAAUGGGGAUGAUCAAAAAAUCUAUGGCGAAGCUGAGAAAUUAAAUAAAGAUAUCCCAUAUAUAAAUAAUAUUCACAAAGAAUUACAUAGGUGUCCAGUUAUGCCUUUACGUAUUGAAGGUUUUCAUUCAUUAGAAGAUCAGAGGUUAAUAUAUGGACGACCUGAUUGGCAAAAAUAUCUUUGUCCUCUGUGUGAUAAAUCAUAUUACCCACCUAAUUAUUAUCAAAAAAAUUAUACGCAUUAUGUUAAUGUACAUUGGAAUAAUAGAAAGACAUUAGGUGGGUAUAUUAUUUUUCCCUGUAAAUUGAUACAUGAUAAUGAUUCUUUAUCAGAUUUUAACUAUGAAAAUAAUAAAAAAAAUAAUGAACAACAAAACAAGACUAAAAAUUUUAUAAAAUUAAAUAAAAAAAUAAAAAAAAAUAAAAAAAAAAUAAGUGUAGUAGACCCACAUUACCAUUGUCCAUUAUGUUUAGAUAUUUAUUUUACAGAUUAUAAUAUGUUAAUUAAGCAUUGUUUGGAUUUGCAUAAAUCAUCUGCAGCAGAUCCAACAAGAACACUACCUUCUAAUUUUGUACAUACACCUUUUACCCAUAAUAAUGAUUAUUAUUGUACUAUUAACAAAUUAGCAUCAGAAGUAUAUGUAGAUGUAGGUGUAGAUGUAGGUGUAGGUGUAGGUGUAGGUGUAGAUGUACAUCCAAACUUAAAUGGAAAUGAAAAAAAAAAUAUAAAUGAUGAAACAGCAUUGGUUUUAUCUACAAACGUGGGUAACAAUCUAAUAAAUUAUAAAAAUGAUAUAAUAGACAAUAUAAUAGACAAUAGAAACACGAACAAAAAUCAGACCAUAACAGAAGAAGAACAACAACAAGAAGCACAACAACAAGAAGCACAACAACAAAAAGAACAACAACAAAAAGCACAACAACAAGAAGAACAACAACAAGAAGAAUCUACUAACGUUUAUGAAAAAUUUACCAAUAAGUUAUUAAAUGAUGCUGAAGCUAAAAGAAAGAGAAAAAGUGGACGAGUUAGUAAGGUAGCAUUUUUUGAUGAAAUUAAGAUAAGGGAAUAUGACAUAGAACUGUCUAGAAUUGAAAAAUUUGGAGCUUGUGUUGGUCCCGUUGCGACAGAGGAUGAGGAAGAAGAACAAGCGAGUGGAACAGAUUCAAAAGGGGUAGAUUCAAAAGGGGUAGAUUCAAAAGGGGUAGAUUCAAAAGGGGUAGAUUCAAAAGGGGUAGAUUCAAAAGGGAUAGAUUCAAAAGGGGUAGAUUCAAAAGGGAUAGAUUCAAAAGGGGUAGAUUUAAAAGGGGUAGAUUUAAAAGGGGUAGAUGCGAAUGGAACAGAUGCAAACGAAUCGUGUAGUAUUGCCUUAGAACUGAGCACAGAAGCAGAUACGAACAUAGACACAGAAAUAGCUAAACAAAUUUCAUUCGAAAUAGAUAUAAACAAAAUAAACGGUGCUGGUAUUAAGGAGGGCACCCAUAAUAACAUAAACAGUGAAAAUAAAAAAAACGAAGAUGUUAUAACAACUUCACCCCAUCUCAAUUUCAUUAAUGAUGACUGCUUGAGUAGUAAAGAUAUAACAACCAAUGUUUCGUACGAAAUGCAAGAAGAACUGUUACAAAUAAAAGAAAACAAAGCUCUAGAAAAAAAUGUACCAAAAAAUAAAAAAGAGCUGAGCACUACGCAAGUUGUUAAAAAAGGUGGGAAGCGUUUAAAAAAUGAUACAAAUGAUGUUCAUAAUAAUAAUGUCAGUAGCAAUAAAACAAAAGGAAAACUAAAACGGGUAAAUUAAAAGUUGUAAAAAAAAAAAAAUGUACAGAUGGUGUACUGACUGACUGAGUGGAAACAUAUAUAUUUGGUAAUAAUUCAUACAAAUUUUAGGCAUUUUUUUUUUUUUUUUUUUUUAAUAAUAAGGCGGGGGUAAAAAGAAAAGAAAAAUUUUAUUUUUGUUAUUACGGUCGCAUGUCAUUACGGUCGCAUGUCAUUACGGUCGCAUGUCAUUACGGUCGAAUGUCAUUACGGUCGCAUGUCAUUACGGUCGCAUGUCAUUACGGUCGCAUGUCAUUACGGUCGCAUGUCAUUACGGUCGCAUGUCAUUACGCUCGUAUGUCAUUACGCUCUUUUGCUUUCUUAUUCUUUAGCUAGCUUAUCAUUUCGCUCACCUAUUUUUUUUUUUUUUUUUUUUUCUCGCUUAUCCUCUUGUUACGUUUGUCAAUAUGCGUAUAAUUUUCAUUUCUUUAUAAAUACACACUAAUUUAUUAACGUCUUAUACACUUUAUACUUUUAACGCUGCUUACUAUUUUGAACCCAAACGUUUUAAAUAUAUAUUUUAUAAAUAACAAUCUAUACAUUAGCAAUAUGUAUACAUUUUAAUUUAUUAUUAUAUUAUGUCUACUCAUUUACAUCAUUUAUAUAUAUAUAUAUAUACAUAUUAUCGUGCUUUAUUCAUCUUAAUGUGUAAGCUGAGCUAAUGUUUCAGUGAACCCAUCCACUUUUGCAUAAUUUAAAAGUAUAUAUAUUUUUUUUUUUUUUUUUUUCUUUUCUUUUUCUUUUUCUUUUUUUUUGCAUUAAAUAUGAAUAUAAAACUUUCUUUUAAUCUUCUUAAUUAAAUCCUUUUAUUUUGAGCUUUUUACAUAUCUACUUAUGUUCAACUUUUCAAUUUUAUUAGUAAAAUAAAAUAAAAAAAAAAUAAAAAAAAAAAAAGCGG
rnacentral:lncRNA from 1 species